CAUCGUUGUUUUCACCCUUCUUUGGGUCAUCACAGGGUUACAAUUUGAGAAGAUGAAGGAAGUAGCUGAAUGCAGAAGUGAUAUGAAUGAGCGGUUGAAAUUUCACCCGACUGUGAAGGUGCAAAGCACCGCAAUUGGAAAGAUCAGCAAUGAUGAGUGGAUGAAAUCGAGUCAACUGGAUACCGAAUUCAACAUCAAUAGCUUCAGGUCCAGUCGACUCUCAUCGGAGAUGCUUCACAUUACAAGCAAUAGGACUCUAUCCUGGAAUGGUGAUGCAAUCUACUUGGAGACUGUUGACAACACUGCAUGGCUCUCUGUGGGAAAACAGAGAGUGCCUUUAACAGCAAAC